rnacentral:ncRNA from 1 species
AAACAAGCAAUGACAAGGAAAAGUAGAGAUGGUCAGCGUAUUCACAGAGAGCUUUGUUAGCUGAGAGAAGCAACGCUGAUUGGUUUCGAAAGUAGCCUUCGAGCUAUCCGCUGAACCAAGUAGGCAGGAUUGGGAGUGCCCAUUAACGCACCAACGUAUUAACUUCAUUAGGAUGAGCGGCGUCCUGCGCGACAGCUCGUGUCACUUUAAAGAACUUUGUUAAGGUGGCUCUGCUUUUGAUGAUUAGUGCGUGGCAGAGGCAGCUAUGGUAAUGUAGCUGUAAAGUUAAGGGUGGUAACACGCAUCGGCGUCCUUAAG